rnacentral:ncRNA from 24 species
AGUUGUGUGGCAGCUAUGAAACGCCGCUCAGGCAAUAUCCUGGUCACCCGAGCGGCGCGGAGCAAAUGGUGAAACCGACCACGUCAACC